ensembl:lncRNA
GGGUUUCAUCAGACUCGAAGUUUCUUGAUUUUGCUGGGGACCCCCUGUAUUUUACCGCUCCCUCCUGCAGUCUUCCCCUAUUAAAAUUUAAAAUGAUUCUGUAAAUUCCGUGUACCAAUAGAAAAAAUCUCUGUCUCUGCCAGCUGCAGUAAAUGUAGUUUCCAAAUAAUAAAUAAGAGGUGCAUUCACCUGUGUAUCUCCUUUGAUCCGCAUAAGUGAUAUUCUCAUUACCAGAACAGUGAAGCAAAGAAAGAUUCCUGAGUUUGUUAGUAAUUUUAUUUAUUAGGUGCAUCUAACCUGUUCUAUUUUUCUCUGAAAUGAGAUCAAAUCAGUGCUGCUAUGGGUUGUCUCCACUCUGCACUGGAAAAUUUUACUUAUUUUAGAGACUUGUCAUAAGAUGGGACAGAGAGAUUAAGAGCAGUUCUGCUACAGGUAAAUACAGGCACUAGCAUAAACUGGCACUAAGAUUCUCUGAGUUUUGGACUGUUUAUUUUGUAUUGUUUCCAGAUGAAGACCGGAGGCUCUCAGCUCACUCAACAAGUGAAACUGAAAACCAAACGUUGACUGCAGCUAUCCAAGAUUCUGAUGGCGAUUUGGAAGACGACUGUGAUAUUCAUGAUGGAGAGUUGCAACCCACAAGUUUAUCAAAUAAACUUGUCAAAAGAAGGAAAGCCCAAAAAAGACAUGCAGACAAUGAUGGUGACAGGGGAUUGCUGAACUUGUCUGUGGAAGAGAAACAUGGCAAAGGACAAAACUCUAUUACAACUCUCAAUGAGGACAGUGACGGAGAUGAGUAUGGAGAAAAGCCUUUUGGGAUUUCUUCCACAAGCCCGGUCCAAAGAAAGAAAAUGAAAACCAAGCAUGGAGUGGCUGCUGCUGAUCCUGCUCAAUGCGGUCAUUUGCAAAUUAAAGGGAAGACCCCAUGGAAUGAGCAGGAGAAGCUGGCAGUUAAGCAACACUUGGCUGUUUUUGCGGAAGGUGCCAGGAAAAAAGACUGUAUCCUAUGCAUUGAAAAAUCCUCUCCUGUUCUCCAAAAGAGAACCUGGAAAGAUGUGAAAUAUUGUGUAUAAUGAAAUGAUAAAGAUUGCAAAAUCACUAAAACAUUAAGGCAUUUCUAAGUGUCUCGAAACUUACACAAAUGUUAAUGUUUAAAAAGCUGUAAGGCUUCUGUUUAUAUAAUAAAAAUGUGUUAAAAUGCAAUGAAAUCAAAUUAUUUAAAAAUAUAUUAACUUGUAAGUUUGACUUUAUCAAAGAACCACACAACUGAAGUUACCUUAUUGUGUUUUAGUAAAUUGACCAUUUUCUCUAAAAACUAAAAGUGGGCUUCUGCUUGCUUAUAACAUUAAUUUAAUCCUCACAGUAUAUAUAUUAAAAACAUAUCAGACAUGUUUUUUUGCUCCAAAAUAUGAGAUCAACAGUUAUUAUUUCAUAACUUUAGGGNACCUGGAAAGAACAUGGAUUAUGUGUAAAAUGAAAUUAUAAAGAUUACAAACUCACUAAAACAUUAAGGCAUUUCUAAGUGUCUCGAAACUUACACAAAUGUUAAUGUUUAAAAAGCUGUAAGGCUUCUGUUUAUAUAAUAAAAAUGUGUUAAAAUGCAAUGAAAUCAAAUUAUUUAAAAAUAUAUUAACUUGUAAGUUUGACUUUAUCAAAGAACCACACAACUGAAGUUACCUUAUUGUGUUUUAGUAAAUUGACCACUUUCUCUAAAAAAAUAAAAGUGGGCUUCUUCUUGCUUAUAACAUUAAUUUAAUCCUCACAGUAUAUAUAUUUAAAAAAACAUAUCAGACAUGGUUGUUUUGCUCCAAAAUAUGAGAUCAACAGUUAUUAUUUCAUAACUUUAGGGGGGGGGGUCAGCUGAGCAAUUGGUCCUCAGUAUGCUGGUUAAAAACUUUUUUUGAAAAAUGGCAAUAUUGCAAUAUCUAAAGGAGUGUUUAGGUUGGUUUUUACACCCAGUGUCCAGAAAUCAUCUUUUUGUGUCUCUAAGUACAUCACAAAUGGUGGGCCUCAGUUUGUGAGUAAUUUUACUUGGUCCUCAGUAUGUAGUAAGUACAAGAAUGCGUGUGUGUGUGUGUGUGUGUGUGUGUGUGUGUGUGUGUGUGUGUGUGUGUGUGUGUGUGUAAAACAGUGGUUCCAAGCUCUUCAUCUCCUGUUGGGAUAAUAGAAGUCUCCAUUCCAUUAGGGGUCCAGUGUUCUUGUGAUGUUUUCAUAAUCUGCUUCACUUUCAUCUUCCUCUUGAUAAGGAUUCUGCUGUUUGGUGUUUCUCUGCAGCAUAAUAAGAAAACCAUCAUUUCCAUACACCUGAAAAAAAAAACGUAGAAAAGGAAGUAAUUUAAAGGACGUUCAUUAUUAUAGUUUAAACAUCAAGUUAUGUAACUAUAUUUCCCUGAAGAAGAGGAACGAGGUACAACACAGUGGGAUAUCAUGCCCCUGCGUGGUCUAACUGAACACACCUUCAGUCACAUGAUGUAUUAUGUAACGUCACGUAGGGGAAAGGCCACGCCUACUCACACGUGAAGUCGUGUUUGAAGACCGCUCUUCACUGAGCUCAGCGGGGCUACAAAGGUCUUGUACCUUGUUCCUCUUCUUCGCUGAACAGUGAUUAUACGCAUAACUGAACGUUGCUCGGUACAAUACAUGUAGUUGCCAGAAAAAGUAUGUGAACCCCUUUGAAUUACAUGGAUUUCUACACUAAUUUGGUUAUUAAAUUUGAUCUAAUCUUCAUCACAGACAGCCACAGUCUGCCUAAACUAAUAUCACACAAAUAAUUAUAUGUUUCCAUGUUUUUACUGAACACCAUGUAAACAUUCACAGUGCAGAUGAACCCUGAGUAGUAACAAUCGUCCUAAUAAAAGAUUCAUCAGUGCUUUGUAGUUAAAGAAAUUAUAAUCAGGGUCUAUGUUACUGCCAUACUCUAAUAACCUAACAUCUGUUUGUAUUUUUGGCGUAACGUGUAUGCUGUCAGACAUCUGGAUAGGUUGUAUUAUACAUUCUGGCCAUGGGGCGAUCGGGCCUGUGUGGAAUUUCAUUAACCCUGUAAAGGGUCAUUUUAGCACAUACUGGCUCAAGAAAAUGAUUUUAAAAUAUAAAAAAGUAGCAAAAGACAUAUUUAAAGGGGCAUUAUGGAAGUUUGACAGCCAAAACAUGUUUAGAAAUAAUACAUUUCUUCUUCAUACAUUCUCCUGCAAUGCCCUGGUCCUGUAGAAUGAGCCCUGGCAUUUUUACUGUGAUUGCCUGUUUUUCUGUAAAAUCACAGAAAAAGAGAG